rnacentral:rRNA from 1 species
GACGAACGCUGGCGGCGUGCUUAACACAUGCAAGUCUAACGGUGAAGGGACCGGUUUUUGCUGGUUCUGGAUGAGUGGCGAACGGGUGAGUAACACGUGAGUAACCUGCCCCCUUCUUCUGGAUAACCGCAUGAAAGUGUGGCUAAUACGGGAUAUUCUGCGCCUGCUGCAUGGUGGGUGUGGGAAAGAUAUUGUUUCGGUGGGGGAUGGGCUCGCGGCCUAUCAGCUUGUUGGUGGGGUGAUGGCCUACCAAGGCGGUGGCGGGUAGCCGGCAUGAGAGGGUGGACGGUCACACUGGGACGGAGACACGGCCCAGACUCCUACGGGAGGCAGCAGUGGGGAAUAGUGAACAGUGGGCGCAAGCCUGCUGCAGCGACGCCGCGGGAGGGAUGGAGGCCUUCGGGUUGUAAACCUCUUUCGCCAGUGAAGCAGGCCUGUCCCUUGUGUGGGUGGGUUGACGGUAGCUGGAGAAGAAGCGCCGGCUAACUACGUG